UCCUCCGCUUAUUGAUAUGCUUAAGUUCAGCGGGUAUUCCUACCUGAUCCGAGGUCAACAUUUCAGAAAGUUGGGUGUUUUACGGCAUUGGACGCGCCGCGCUCCCGAUGCGAGUGUGCAAACUACUGCGCAGGAGAGGCUGCGGCGAGACCGCCACUGUAUUUCGGGGCCGGCCGCCCCCAAAGAGGAGGGAGUGGCCGAUCCCCAACGCCGACCCCCCGGAGGGGUUCGAGGGUUGAAAUGACGCUCGGACAGGCAUGCCCGCCAGAAUACUGGCGGGCGCAAUGUGCGUUCAAAGAU
rnacentral:misc_RNA from 1 species